rnacentral:rRNA from 1 species
GCGGAGGGACAUUACAAG